AUUGAACGCUGGCGGCAGGCCUAACACAUGCAAGUCGAGCGAGCGGCGGACGGGUGAGUAAUUUCUGGGAAACUGCCUGAUGGAGGGGGAUAACUACUGGCAACGGUAGCUAAUACCGCAUACCCUCAGAUGUUCCCAGCUGGGAUUAGCUGGUAGGUGGGGUAACGGCUCACCUAGGCGACGAUCCCUAGCUGGUCUGAGAGGAUGACCAGCCAGACUGGAACUGAGACAGGGUCCAGACUCCUACGGGAGGCAGCAGUGGGGAAUAUUGAACAAGGGGCGCAAGCCUGAUGCAGCCAUGCCGGGUGUGGGAAGAAGGCCUUCGGGUUGUAAAGCACUUUCAGCGGGGAGGCGUUACCCGCAGAAGAAGCACCGGCUAACUCCGUGCCAGGCGCCGCGGUAAUUC
rnacentral:rRNA from 1 species